GGGUCUGUGGCCAAGUUGGUUAAGGUGUCGGUCUUGUAUUAUCCACGCUAACCGAAGAUCGGGGGUUCGAAUGUUGACAGGCAAG